rnacentral:lncRNA from 10 species
ACUUGCCAGAUGUGUGCAGAUCCCUGGAGCUGGAGAAGGGAAGGGAUACAUGGAAACCAGGGGAGAGAUGGUUCUUCCAAGGAGCAUUGGCAUGCUCUUUCCAAAAAGAGGAAGAGAGAUCUGGGUACUGGAAUGUUCUGGAGUCCAGAAAAGGACACCGUGCCACCCUUUAACAACAGCGCCAUGAUGCAGAAGGUCCACAAGCUGGCUCGAACUUAAAGGCAACUUCACUGUCUCCCCUAGUGCCUGGCACACAGCAGGUCAUUGUAAAUUUUUGUACACUGAAAUGAACAUCUAGCCACACACUGCAUGACUGGGGUUAGUGAGCUCGGCAGUCCAUAUUUCAGUCUCCAACUGCGUGAUUGUUGACUUCCUGCUGUGUGUCAGGCACCCUGGCAUGUGCGCCACUGUCUGAAUUCAGACCGGAUUCAAAUAUCACCUU